rnacentral:rRNA from 1 species
UACGGGGGGGGCAAGCGUUGUUCGGAAUUACUGGGCGUAAAGGGCUCGUAGGCGGCCUGUUAAGUCGAACGUGAAAUCCCCGGGCUCAACCCGGGAACUGCGUCCGAUACUGGCUGGCUUGAAUCCGGGAGAGGGAUGCGGAAUUCCAGGUGUAGCGGUGAAAUGCGUAGAUAUCGGGAGGAACACCAGUAGCGAAGGCGGCUCGCUGGGCCAUUCCUGACGCUGAGACGCGAAAGCUAGGGGAGCGAACAGG